AGCUCCAAUAGCGUAUAUUAAAGUUGUUGCGGUUAAAAAGCUCGUAGUUGGAUUUCUGUCGAGGACAGCCGGUCCACACUUUGUGUGAGUAUCUGGUUUGGCCUUGGCAUCCUCUUGAAAAACGUUACUGCGCUUGAUUGCGUGGUGCGGAGUUCAAGACUUUUACUUUGAGGAAAUUAGAGUGUUCACGGCAGGCAAACGCCUUGAAUAUAUUAGCAUGGAAUAAUAAUAUAGGACCUUUGUUCUAUUUUGUUGGUUUCUAGAGCGAAGGUAAUGAUUAAUAGGGAUAAUUGGGGGCAUUCGUAUUAACGCGUCAGAGGUGGAAUUCUUGGAUUGCGUUACGACGAACUACUGCGAAAGCAUUUGCCAAGGAUGUUUUCA
rnacentral:rRNA from 1 species